rnacentral:rRNA from 1 species
UCGCCAGACUCCUACGGGAGGCAGCAGUAGGGAAUCUUCGGCAAUGGACGAAAGUCUGACCCAGCAACGCCGCGUGAAGGAAGAAGGCUUUCGGGUUGUAAACUUCUUUUCUCAGGGACGAAGAAAGUGACGGUACCUGAGGAAUAAGCCACGGCUAACUACGUGCCAGCAGCCGCGGUAAUACGUAGGUGGCAAGCGUUAUCCGGAUUUACUGGGUGUAAAGGGCGUGUAGGCGGGAAAGCAAGUCAGAUGUGAAAACCACGGGCUCAACCUGUGGCCUGCAUUUGAAACUGUUUUUCUUGAGUACUGGAGAGGCAGACGGAAUUCCUAGUGUAGCGGUGAAAUGCGUAGAUAUUAGGAGGAACACCAGUGGCGAAGGCGGUCUGCUGGACAGCAACUGACGCUGAGGCGCGAAAGCGUGGGGAGCAAACAGGAUUAGAUACCCCGGUAAGA